GGUAUAGUCCUCCAACCAAUGGGAGUGAAUGAAGGGACGGUGCUGGAGGAGCGAGGCUGCGCGGCUUGUCCGCUUCCGAUUGGAGACAAUGAAGAGGAAUUGGCAAUUUCAGGUGGAGAUGUAGCUCAGAAAGUGAGAGAUAUGAAAGUGGUCAGUAAACCAGGGGAUAACGGGGGCCAGGCCAGGACAGAAGAGAAGCUGAGUUUCAAGAACACAGAAGGGAGCUGAAAGUCUUGUGGAGACAAAGCCUUUGAAAAUAGGAGAACCCUGAACUGACUACAAUCAAACAAUGUAAGACCAUUGUUUAAAACCACCAAGCCUGGACAUAACUGUUUCUGAAAUUGGGAUUGAUAAAAUUACUUGAUACAAAUUCAAACACACAAUGAGAAAUUCAGUUGCAUUUUACAGGGCAAAUAAAUUUAAAUCUUUAAAUCUUAAUUUAAAACCAGAGCAAAUGGAAACAGACUAGGUGGUUUUAAUUUAUAUCAGAAGAAAAUUAGACAGAUUGUUUGGGAAAAAUUUAAUUGACCACUAAUGAAACAUGUGAGCUCAACAACACUGCUGAGCCUGUAGACGAAAGAAACCUUUGUGUCUGUUGUUGCCAAUUUUUGUCAAUAUCCAAUGAAAUCAAAGUGUAUAUAAAAUUAGAUAAUUAACAGUUUUCUCUUUGA